rnacentral:rRNA from 2 species
ACAUGCAAGUCGAGCGGACAGAAGGGAGCUUGCUCCCGGAAGUCAGCGGCGGACGGGUGAGUAACACGUAGGUAACCUGCCCCUUAGACUGGGAUAACUCCGGGAAACCGGAGCUAAUACGGGAUAAUAAAGAGAAUCACCUGAUUCUCUUUUGAAAGACGGUUUCGGCUGUCACUAAGGGAUGGGCCUGCGGCGCAUUAGCUAGUUGGUAAGGUAACGGCUUACCAAGGCGACGAUGCGUAGCCGACCUGAGAGGGUGAUCGGCCACACUGGGACUGAGACACGGCCCAGACUCCUACGGGAGGCAGCAGUAGGGAAUCUUCCGCAAUGGACGAAAGUCUGACGGAGCAACGCCGCGUGAGUGAGGAAGGCCUUCGGGUCGUAAAGCUCUGUUGUGAGGGAAGAACAAGUACCGGCGUAACUACCGGUACCUUGACGGUACCUCACCAGAAAGCCACGGCUAACUACGUGCCAGCAGCCGCGGUAAUACGUAGGUGGCAAGCGUUGUCCGGAAUUAUUGGGCGUAAAGCGCGCGCAGGCGGCUUCUUAAGUCUGAUGUGAAAUCUCGGGGCUCAACCCCGAGCGGCCAUUGGAAACUGGGAAGCUUGAGUGCAGAAGAGGAGAGUGGAAUUCCACGUGUAGCGGUGAAAUGCGUAGAUAUGUGGAGGAACACCAGUGGCGAAGGCGACUCUCUGGUCUGUAACUGACGCUGAGGCGCGAAAGCGUGGGGAGCAAACAGGAUUAGAUACCCUGGUAGUCCACGCCGUAAACGAUGAGUGCUAGGUGUUAGGGGUUUCGAUGCCCGUAGUGCCGAAGUAAACACAUUAAGCACUCCG